UCUCCUUUCUGAUUGCCUCCCAGGAUGUCGUAGAGAAUCGCACUUACGCAUAUGGGAAAAUAUCGGUAGUUCUGAAAGCAAGAGACCCUAGACGCAACAAAAAGCUGUCUAUCCCAGAUUUUGUGAUUGUUUGUGGUAUCUAUAGGGAUGUUUUAUGUUUGGUUCACCCACAUAGAAGGGAAGAGCUGGACCUCUUUAUUCACAAGCUGGUUGACCUAAGCAACAAAUACGGUGGUACGUCCUUUUAUGACUACCACCGGUCAUUC